rnacentral:misc_RNA from 1 species
GUAUGGUACCAAGAAUGGACAAAAGGAUAAAUACAGUGGUGAAGCUGGGAUACAAGAAAUGUAUAAUUCCCAAAUCAGCUGAAACAUUACUGUCAGCUUUAGAUCUUGGAGAUACUGAGAUUGUGGCCUGCAGGAAUUUGAAGGAGAUGAUAAACAUUGUGUUCAGAAAACGCUGAGAUAUUGGUUGUACCGAGUUUUUUAUGUGUAGAUUAUCUAGGCUGUUCCUUGUAAUUUUUGCGCAGAGUUGUAUCAUUUUGCACGCAGUACUGUAUAUCAACAUAGACAAAUUAUCUAAACUUUCUCACCUAAUUCUUUUAGCAUCUAUA